rnacentral:rRNA from 1 species
ACGGGAUGCUUAGGCAUCUAGUGGCGGACGGGUGAGUAACGCGUGAGAAUCUGGCUCCAGGUCGGGGAUAACAGUUGGAAACGACUGCUAAUACCGGAUGUGCCGAAAGGUGAAAGAUUUAUUGCCUGGAGAUGAGCUCGCGUCUGAUUAGCUAGUUGGUGGUGUAAGGGACCACCAAGGCAUCGAUCAGUAGCUGGUCUGAGAGGAUGAUCAGCCACACUGGGACUGAGACACGGCCCAGACUCCUACGGGAGGCAGCAGUGGGGAAUUUUCCGCAAUGGGCGAAAGCCUGACGGAGCAAUACCGCGUGAGGGAGGAAGGCUCUUGGGUCGUAAACCUCUUUUCUCAAGGAAGGAGAAAGUGACGGUACUUGAGGAAUAAGCAUCGGCUAACUCCGUGCCAGCAGCCGCGGUAAUACGGAGGAUGCAAGCGUUAUCCGGAAUGAUUGGGCGUAAAGGGUCUGCAGGUGGAACUGAAAGUCUGCUGUUAAAGAGUUUGGCUUAACCAAAUAAAAGCGGUGGAAACUACAGAACUAGAGUGUGGUAGGGGCAAAAGGAAUUCCUGGUGUAGCGGUGAAAUGCGUAGAUAUCAGGAAGAACACCGGUGGCGAAAGCGUUUUGCUAGACCAUAACUGACACUGAGGGACGAAAGCUAGGGGAGCGAAUGGGAUUAGAUACCCCAGUAGUCCUAGCCGUAAACGAUGGAUACUAGGCGUGGCUUGUAUCGACCCGAGCCGUGCCGGAGCUAACGCGUUAAGUAUCCCGCCUGGGGAGUACGCACGCAAGUGUGAAACUCAAAGGAAUUGACGGGGGCCCGCACAAGCGGUGGAGUAUGUGGUUUAAUUCGAUGCAACGCGAAGAACCUUACCAAGACUUGACAUCCUGCGAAUCCCGGUGAAACA